rnacentral:misc_RNA from 1 species
AAGUCGUAACAAGGUAAUCGUAGGUGAACCUGCGGUUGGAUCAUUCGAAAUAGGAGGCAUGUCGUCGCACCUAUCAGAGGAGGCAUGUCGUCGCACCUAUCAGAGGAGGCAUGUCGUCGCACGCAGUGUGACGGCAGGACGACUCUCACAAAAAGUGACGACUCUCACAAAAAGUGUCGACUCUCACAAAAAGUGUCGACUCUCCUUUUAGAGAGGAGACACAAUCACACCUAAAAACAAGAAAAGUGAUGAUGAUGGCAUAUGCCCAUCUCUUUUACACAAUCCAUCAUACGACAUGACAUGACAUGACAUGGCAAUACUAUAACUUUUGACAAUGGAUCUCUUGGUUCUC